AAAUAGUGAAAUAUUGAAAAUCACAAUUAUUAUCAAGUUAUUGAGGAAAAAAUGAAGAAAAGUGAAAAAGUGAAAAGAAUUUGUUUAGAAGUUAGUGAAGACUCCAGCUUUAAAAUCUAACUCUAGAUGUCUAGACUCUGUUUUGGAGCCGCUGUAAUUCUUCAUUCAUUUUCAUGGGUUGAGUCCUUUGCUUCUCAUUAAAAUGCCUUCCUCUGUACAUUUCUAAAGCUCUCUCUCUCUCUCUCUCUCUCUCUUUCUUUCUCUCUCUUCCUCUGUGUGCGCAUUCUGGUUCAGCAUAUGUAUCUGUUAUUAAGACAUAUGGCUGCUUUAUUGCUGCUAACAAUACCAAUCAAUACUCAUGAAGCAUGCAGAAGCGUCACCUACCACAAAUCUCAGGACCUGAGCGGGAACUGACAGUGAUCAUCUUUCAAACACACUCUCACCAACAUCUACUACAGUGUCUCACAUCCACGAUAACUCUGUGCAAGCAGAGAGAGAGAGGAGCACUACCCAAACUCAACAGCAAGAUUCAUUGUUGUUGGAACAUUUUAUACUUAAUAAAGGAAAUGGUACAUGACUCAAGCUGUCUCCUUACAAAGAGAGAGAGAGAGAGACAGUGAGUGGAGCUGAUGAGGUGAGUCUAGCUCCCCCACACCACAGCAGUAAUCACAGCACUGAAGAAACACAUACAUCAUCUGACGGAACUACUGCUGGCAUUCUCUCUCUCUCUCUCACACACACACACACACACACACACACACACACACACACACACACACACACACACACACACACACACACACACACACACACACACACACACACCACAAACUUAUAAAUAACUAAAAACAACAUUACACAGACACACCAAGCUAAAUGGGGGCACAUCAUUACUAUAGACCAGCCUCAACACUAAACCUUAUUUAUUUAAAUUUUUAAAAAUAUUUAUUUUUAUAUAUAAAUGGUUUUUAUCUUUGAAGCCAGAUUACUAACUAAAUUCUGCAGAGAACAGCCCAGUUAUACCUAUACACCUAUUUUUUCUUAUUUUAUUUUACUUUAUUUUAUUGUUAAUCUGCCUUUGUGAGAAACUGAGUUUCCUCUGUCAUUUUCCUCUGGCAUCUGUCCCUGUUCAUUCUCCCUCUAUCCUUCGUUGUAUGCAUGUUAUAAAGAAUGUGUAGAGAUCACUGAAGCGAUUGGAGGUAAGUGUUGUCCCUGCAUUUGUCUUAAUUAAUCUUUAAUGAAACGGCCUCAUCCUACCCCCUCUCGCUCUCUCUCCCUCAUAAAUGAAAGAUGGAGCUGAGCAGUGCUGGUCUCAGUGCAUUAUUAAGGUUGAGCUGGUCA
ensembl:lncRNA